AUUGAACGCUAGCGGGAUGCUUUACACAUGCAAGUCGCACGAGCGGUGGACGGGUGUGUAAUACAUCUGACCGUGCCCAGUAGCGGGGGAUAACUACUCGCAAGAGUGGCUACUACCGCAUAUUUUUGGAGCGGCCGGUAUCGGAUAAGCUAGUUGGUGGGGUAAAGGCACACCAAGGCAAUGCGCCUUACUGGGUUUGAGAGGACGACCAGCCACACUGGGACUGAGACACGGCCCAGACUCCUACGGUAGGCAGCAGUGGGGAAUUUUGGACAAUGGGGGAAACCCUAAUCCGACCAUGCCGCGUGUAUGAGAAGGCCUUCGGGUUGUAAAGUACUUUUGGCUGAGAGGCGGUAUCUUCAGAAUAAGCACCGGCUAAUUACGUGCCAGCAGCCGCGGUAAUUC
rnacentral:rRNA from 1 species